GAUGAACGCUGGCGGCGUGCUUAACACAUGCAAGUCGAACGGAAAGGCUCCUGCUUGCAGGGGUACUCGAGUGGCGAACGGGUGAGUAACACGUGGGUGAUCUGCCCUGCACUUCGGGAUAAGCCUUGGAAACUGGGUCUAAUACCGGAUAGGACGAUGGUUUGGAUGCCAUUGUGGAAAGUUUUUUCGGUGUGGGAUGAGCUCGCGGCCUAUCGGCUUGUUGGUGGGGUAAUGGCCUACCAAGGCGUCGACGGGUAGCCGGCCUGAGAGGGUGUACGGCCACAUUGGGACUGAGAUACGGCCCAGACUCCUACGGGAGGCAGCAGUGGGGAAUAUUGCACAAUGGGCGCAAGCCUGAUGCAGCGACGCCGCGUGGGGGAUGACGGCCUUCGGGUUGUAAACUACUUUCGCUAGGGACGAAGCGCAAGUGACGGUACCUGGAGAAGAAGCACCGGCUAACUACGUG
rnacentral:rRNA from 1 species